GCAAGGCUCAAACGACCGUCAUGCACCUGGCGGCGGAAGCCGGUUCGGUCGAAGACCUCGAACUCGAAGACGUCCUCUCGGUCGGCUUCGGCGGCGUCAAGUGCGUUGAAUCCGGUGGCCCGGAACCCGGCGUCGGCUGUGCCGGCCGCGGCGUCAUCACCGCCAUCAACUUCCUGGAAGAAGAAGGCGCCUACGACGACGAACUCGACUUCGUUUUCUACGACGUCCUCGGCGACGUGGUCUGCGGUGGCUUCGCCAUGCCGAUCCGCGAAAACAAGGCGCAGGAAAUCUACAUCGUCUGCUCCGG
rnacentral:rRNA from 1 species